CGCGUAGGCGGCCUGCUAAGUCUGGAGUGAAAGUCCUGCUUUCAAGGUGGGAAUUGCCUUGGAUACUGGUGGGCUGGAGUGCAGGAGAGGAAAGCGGAAUUACCGGUGUAGCGGUGAAAUGCGUAGAGAUCGGUAGGAACACCAGUGGCGAAGGCGGCUUUCUGGACUGAAACUGACGCUGAGGCGCGAAAGCGUGGGGAGCAAACA
rnacentral:rRNA from 1 species